rnacentral:rRNA from 1 species
CCAAUCCUGACACAGGGAGGUAGUGACAAUAAAUAACAAUGCCGUGCCCUUUUGGGUAUGGCUUUUGGAAUGAGAGAAACACAGAAUCCACAUCGAGGAUCAAUUGGAGGGCAAGUCUGGUGCCAGCAGCCGCGGUAAUUCCAGCUCCAAUAGCGUAUAUUAAAGUUGCUGCAGUUAAAAAGCUCGUAGUUGCAUUUCCGAGGCAAGGGAUUAGUCCGACCUUUGGUGGGUAUUUAAUCCUCUUGCCUCGUCCUUGAGUGGUGCUUCUUGGUAUUAAGUUAUCGAGGAGAUAGCCGCUCAUCGUUUACUGUGAGAAAAUUAGAGUGUUCAAAGCAGGCUUAUGCCGUUGAAUAUAUUAGCAUGGAAUAAUAAGAUAGGACCUCGGUACUAUUUUGUUGGUUUGAGAACCAAGGUAAUGAUGAAUAGGGACAGUUGGGGGUAUUCGUAUUCAGUUGUCAGAGGUGAAAUUCUUGGAUUUUUGUAAGACAAACUACUGCGAAAGCAUUUACCAAGGAUGUUUUCAUUAAUCAAGAACGAAAGUUAAGGGAUCGAAGAUGAUUAGAUACCAUC